UCUGUUUGAGAAGUUUUUAUAUCGUCAGAAGGAAUCGCUCUGAUUGCCAUUCACGCUCCAGUCCGGUAGGUGGCGGUAAGUUGGUUUGUCAACAGUAAAAACCUAAAAGAAGGAGAAGAAGAAGAAGUGGCUUUUGGACUUUCAAAAAUACCUUCCUACGCACAAUAAGCGGAUGGAAACGUUUUCAUGCUGAAGCAGGACGAACUCAACAGGAAGAGGAUCGCGUCCUGACCUCUGAGAUGCGACCGCUGGCGGGCCUGAAGGAUGGAGACCGGAGCAGAACCUGUCUGACCACAUGAAUGAGUAUAGAAGCUCGAUUUGCUCGCCGUCUUGGAAUCCCGGCCUGCAGGGAAACAAAGAUGGCGG